CGUGUAGGCGGCCCGGUAAGUCCGCUGUGAAAGUCGGGGGCUCAACCCUCGAAUGCCGGUGGAUACUGUCGGGCUCGAGUACGGAAGAGGCGAGUGGAAUUCCUGGUGUAGCGGUGAAAUGCGCAGAUACCAGGAGGAACACCGAUUGCGAAGGCAGCUCGCUGGGACGUAACUGACGCUGAGACGCGAAAGCGUGGGGAGCAAACA
rnacentral:rRNA from 1 species